rnacentral:rRNA from 1 species
CCGUGAGAGCGGGAGCCCGGAGAUGGGCACUGAGACAGGGGCCCAGGCCCCACGGGGCGCAGCAGUCGCGAAAAUUUUGCAAUACACGAAAGUGUGACAGAGCUAUCCCGAGUGCCAUCCGCUGAGGAAGGCUUUUACCCAGUAUAAAUAGCUGGGAGAAUAAGGAGAGGGCAAGUCUGGUGUCAGCCGCCGCGGUAAUACCAGCUCUCCGAGUAGUGUGGACGUUUAUCGGGCCUAAAGCAUCCGUAGCUUGCUAGAUAAGUCCUCUGUUAAAUCCACCGAUUCAAUCGUUGGAUUGCGGGGGGUACUGUUUGGCUAGGGGACGGGAGAGGUCGACGGUAUUUCCGGGGUAGGGGUGAAAUCCUAUAAUCCCGGGAAGACCACCAGUGGCGAAGGCUGUCGACUAGAACGCGCCCGACGGUGAAGGGCGAA